UCCGGUUUGACACCGGCAGUCUCCCUAGAGUGCCCGGCUUUACCCGCUGGUAACUAGGGACGAGGGUUGCGCUCGUUGCGGGACUUAACCCAACAUCUCACGACACAAGCUGACGACAGCCAUGCAGCACCUGUGCACGGACUCCGAAGAGGGAACAUGUUUCCACGCUUUUCAAGUGCAUGUCAAGCCUUGGUAAGGUUCUUCGCGUUGCGUCGAAUUAAACCACAUGCUCCGCUGCUUGUGCGGGCCCCCGUCAAUUCCUUUGAGUUUUAGCCUUGCGGCCGUACUCCCCAGGCGGGGUGCUUAAUGCGUUAGCUUCGGCACGGAGGGAGUCGACACCCCCCACACCUAGCACCCAUCGUUUACGGCGUGGACUAC
rnacentral:misc_RNA from 1 species